CCAGGGAUAGCUUGGUUGGUAGAGCAUGAGACUCUUAAUUUCAGAGUCAUGGGUUCAAGCCCUACAUUGGG